rnacentral:lncRNA from 1 species
AAACCUCUUACUUUUCACAUCAGCAGCAACUGUGGGAUAUUAAUGAGGAAGAGUUCCUUGACUUUUUGAAAGUUAAAUGAAACUGAAUCCAUGCUUGCCGAAGGAUUUUGCAGGUUGCUGAGCUUAGCAGAUUCUGCAAGCAGGAAUGAAUGAAGAUUACACUUCUUUUAUCAUCUCAUAGACAUGCUUAAAAUUUUAACUGUUUGCUUGGACAGGAAGAUUAACUUACCCUGAGGCUGUUGAAGUGCAUUGUAGCUGUUCAAAGUGAUUAGCAACACCUGUUUUUAAUCCAGAGAGCAGAAAAGGCACUGCAGAGGGUUGUAGAGAGCAGUUUGUAAUUCUUUCAAGAAUUAAGUGUUCCCCGCACUCAAGUGACUGCUGAAUGGGAUUUGCAAUACUCUUUUACUAAAGGUCCCUUUUAAAAAGAACCAAAAGACUUGAAUGUUUAUUCGGUCCAUAGGAAAAUUGCAUAAAGUGAUGGAAACCAGAGUUUGAGAAAGUUACUUUUUAAAUUCCACAGCAAUUUUCCCAUUUCCUUUUGAAGAUACACCUUUCAUGAGUUCCGGAAAAGUGUUCCAGAGGGAGAAGGAUAUUCCAAUGCUGGUAGUAUCCAAUGCAGCAGUGGUGAUGGCGGGGGUAAUUCUGCAACUUAACUGGUCACUGGACUCUGGGGAAAAAUAGGUAAGAUCCCGGUUUUGUGAGACUUAAGAAGAGAUACAACUAGUUCCCUUUCAUUGAACAUCUCCAAGUUAGCAAAACCCAAAUUAUGAUUUAUUACAUUUUCUCUUUCAAAGAAACAAACAAAUAGAAUACUAAUGGGGGCAUUAAGCACUGAAGGGCAAAAAUGAAUAUUAAAAUGAGAAGCUUGGCAAAAAAAAAAUGGCAAUGACCACCUGGAUGAAAUAAAUUGCACUGCCAGCCAUGAUAUUAGCUGGCUGUUAGAUGUGGCUUUUUCAUUCUCUCUUUGUUCAAGUUAUUGCUAGAGAAGGAUUACUGUGCAAAUAAAAGCUAGUGGGGUUGACAGUACAGAAUGUUAAAACAAAUCAUGAUUUAGAAUGAAA